ensembl:snRNA U6 U6 spliceosomal RNA
GUACUUGGUUUGGCAGCACAUAUACUAAAAUUGGAAUGAUACAGAGAUUAGCAUAGCCGCAUGAGCAAGAAGACAUGCAAAUUUGUGAAGGGAUCCAUUAAAAA